UCUCCUGAAGGAACGUUGAAGACGACGACGUUGAUAGGCCGGGUGUGUAAGCGCAGCGAUGCGUUGAGCUAACCGGUACUAAUGAACCGUGAGGCUUAACCUUACAACGCCGAAG
rnacentral:rRNA from 72 species